rnacentral:rRNA from 1 species
AACGUAGGACGCGAACGUUAUCCGGAGUACUGGGCGUAAAGCGCGUGCAGGCGGUUUUGUAAGUUACCUAUGAAAGCUCUCGGCUAAACUGAGAGAGGAUAGGUGAAACUGCAAGACUAGAGUGAGGUAGAGGUGAGUAGAAUUCCAGGUGUAGUGGUGAAAUGCGUAGAUAUCUGGAGGAAUACCAGUGGCGAAGGCGGCUCACUGGCCCUCAACUGACGCUGAGACGCGAAAGCGUGGGUAGCGAACG